rfam:Schistosoma curassoni strain Dakar, Senegal genome assembly, scaffold: SCTD_scaffold0015703
ACCCAGAUGACGAAUCCCAAAUAGGACGAAAUGCUCAUUCUGUAU